AGCGAACGCUGGCGGCAGGCCUAACACAUGCAAGUCGAACGAACCUUUCGGGGUUAGUGGCGGACGGGUGAGUAACACGUGGGAACGUGCCUUUAGGUUCGGAAUAACUCAGGGAAACUUGUGCUAAUACCGAAUGUGCCCUUCGGGGGAAAGAUUUAUCGCCUUUAGAGCGGCCCGCGUCUGAUUAGCUAGUUGGUUGAGGUAAUGGCUCACCAAGGCGACGAUCAGUAGCUGGUCUGAGAGGAUGAUCAGCCACAUUGGGACUGAGACACGGCCCAAACUCCUACGGGAGGCAGCAGUGGGGAAUCUUGCGCAAUGGGCGAAAGCCUGGCGCAGCCAUGCCGCGUAAAUGAUGAAGGUCUUAGGAUUGUAAUAUUCUUUCACCGGGGACGAUAAUGACGGUACCCGGAGAAGAAGCCCCGGCUAACUUCGUG
rnacentral:rRNA from 1 species